rnacentral:lncRNA from 7 species
CAGAAUUCUUAGCCUGGUCCAUCUGCUUGAUUACUUUAAAUGCCUCCCUAUGUUACUCCUCCAAUUUCAUGGCACCACUUGAAGCAUGGAGAGCAGAGUACUAAAAAUAGAGCAGUGGAUGAGUGCAUGUGCUGUGCUGAGCUGCCUGCCAGGUUAAACCACUAUAAGAAAGAAGAUGAAGAGAAUAAGUAGCCAAAGUCCAUUGGUGGCUACCAAUGGUAGGGGUGAAUAGUGGUAGGGAUGAAACCUCCACUUUUGAAUCAGAAGCUGCUCGCUCUUGUGACUGCCAGACAUGUGGAAGAUAUGUUCCUCUAAGAUAUGACUUCAUAUAUGCACUUACUUUUACUCUUCCCUUAUCAUCUGUUCUGGUUAUUCAUCAGGUUGAUGGAAAGCAGCUGAGUUGCUUCAUGGACCUGAAUGCGUCAGUGACAGAACAAGAAAAACCUUUUAUAUCUGCCAUCCAAGCAAUCUCUUCCCCUUUUCAUCUUUCAGAGCUGUAAGCUCUAGCCUUACAGCUUCUCAGUGAAGAAUAUAUUUGAUUAUCUGGAGCAAACGAUGGCUGGCUGCUCGAUAGGAAUACACUGAGCAUCCAUAUCCUCUGAAACCAUAUGUCUGUACCUUGCCAGGUGGAGCUCCAUGUGUCCUUGAGAGUACUGAUAUCUCUCUGUCUCCCAGACCUGGCUGACAAGCCUAGUACAUCAAGAACAGUGCCUUAUAGUUCCUGGCAUCCAAUUAUCUCCUCUAUAGCUAUGCCAAAUGUGAACAGAGGUCCAAGAGAUGCCAUUGAGUCAGUAUUUGCAAAAUGAACUAUUUCCGUUGUACUUUCAGAUUCAGGAGAAAAGAAACAUAUGUGGUUAUUUUUUAAUUCACAAGCACAACUUUAUGCUGUGUGUUUAAAAAGAUCCUGAAAAUGCAUGUAAUAAAACAAAUAGUACCCUUAUCUAAGCACUAGCUGAGACUGCUGCACAGUGAGAAGCGUGUGUCUCAGUCUGUUUCAGUCUUUCUCCUAACAAAGAGUUUACAAGAUCCUGUAAGAGUGGACUGCUCUUUGCUGGGCAAUUUGGGGUAAUUAAGAUUUUUGGAGUGCCAUCAUAGCGAAUCUUGUUUUGUGAAAGGCUUUGUGCCAGCAGGGUAAAAGGCACACUAGAACUGAAUACUGUCACUGUUUGUGGACUACCUGAGGGUAUUACAGGAAAAAGGAAUGAAGCAAUUUGAAUUUUCAUAUUUUGGAGUGGAUACUUUGUUCCCCAUACUGCUUCUCUGAAAAUAAAGCUUGCAUUGAUCAGUAGGUACUGUGAAGGGAAUCUGAAAAUAACAUUGGGAACAUAUUUUCUGCUUGGAAUGGAUAUGACUCUUCUCCUUAGGACACCUAUAUACUCUGCAGUGAAUCACAGAAGCAGAUCAGGAGGAAAUGCAUUUACUCUUCUUUAGUCUCACUGAUGACUUUGGUAAUAGUUAUACUGUUUCUGGAAAUCUGUGGUGAUUUUCUCAUUAAAACUUCUUACAUC